rnacentral:rRNA from 1 species
UACGUAGGGUGCAAGCGUUACUCGGAAUUACUGGGCGUAAAGCGUGCGCAGGCGGCUAUGCAAGACAGAUGUGAAAUCCCCGGGCUCAACCUGGGAACUGCAUUUGUGACUGCAUUGCUGGAGUGCGGCAGAGGGGGAUGGAAUUCCGCGUGUAGCAGUGAAAUGCGUAGAUAUGCGGAGGAACACCGAUGGCGAAGGCAAUCCCCUGGGCCUGCACUGACGCUCAUGCACGAAAGCGUGGGGAGCAAACAGG